rnacentral:rRNA from 1 species
UACGGAGGGUGCAAGCGUUAAUCGGAAUUACUGGGCGUAAAGCGCACGCAGGCGGUUUGUUAAGUCAGAUGUGAAAUCCCCGAGCUUAACUUGGGAACUGCAUUUGAAACUGGCAAGCUAGAGUCUUGUAGAGGGGGGUAGAAUUCCAGGUGUAGCGGUGAAAUGCGUAGAGAUCUGGAGGAAUACCGGUGGCGAAGGCGGCCCCCUGGACAAAGACUGACGCUCAGGUGCGAAAGCGUGGGGAGCAAACAGGAUUAGAUACCCUGGUAGUCCACGCUGUAAACGAUGUCGAC